UACGUAGGGUGCAAGCGUUGUCCGGAUUUAUUGGGUUUAAAGGGUGCGUAGGCGGCCCUGUAAGUCAGUGGUGAAAUACUCCAGCUUAACUGGAGGGGUGCCAUUGAUACUGCAGGGCUUGAGUUAAGUUGAAGUUGGCGGAAUUGACGGUGUAGCGGUGAAAUGCUUAGAUAUCGUCAAGAACACCGAUAGUGAAGACAGCUAACUAAACUUUUACUGACGCUGAGGCACGAAAGUGUGGGGAG
rnacentral:rRNA from 1 species